GACGAACCGAGCGAACGUUGUUCGGAAUAACUGGGCUUAAAGGGCGCGUAGGCGGGCCGCCAAGUUCGAGGUGAAAUCCUCCGGCUCAACCGGAGAACUGCCUCGAAUACUGGAGGUCUCGAGGGUGGUAGGGGCAUGCGGAACUGUGGGUGGAGCGGUGAAAUGCGUUGAUAUCCACAGGAACUCCGGUGGCGAAGGCGGCAUGCUGGACCACAUCUGACGCUGAGGCGCGAAAGCCAGGGGGGCAAACGGG
rnacentral:rRNA from 1 species